GAUAAACGCUGGCGGCGUGCCUAACACAUGCAAGUCGAACGACGUGGCGAACCGGUGCGUAACACGUUAGUAACCUGCCUUACACAAGGGGAUAGCCUUUGGAAACGAAGAAUAAUACCCUAUCGUGUAAGAGGGCCUUGCGUCUGAUUAGCUAGUUGGUGGGAUAAAAGCCCACCAAGGCGACGAUCAGUAGCCGGAUGGAGAGAGUGUACGGACACACUGGGAGUGGGAAAAGGCCCAAACUCGACGGGAGGGAGGAGGGGGGAAUGAUGCACAAUGGGGGAAACCCUGAGGCAGCGAGGCCGCGUGAUUUAGAAGGCCUUCGGGUGGUAAAAAUCUUGUUUAUGGGAAGCAGUACCAUAAGAAUAAGGUCCGGCUAAAUACGUGCCAGCAGCCGCGGUAAUAC
rnacentral:rRNA from 1 species